UCUUGUUCACUUUGUUAUGAGCCUGAAAGGGAUUGGUUGGUGAAGCUGCCUGAAGUCUACAACAUCUCCCAGGAUGAUACUAGGACUCAUUACAGCUCAUGAAAUGCUCACAGAUUAUGAACUGCAGCUUCAAGACCCCAUACUGCUGAGCAGGGGUCAAUAUCACAAACAGGAGGAUGGAAGGUAUUCCAGCAAAGUUUCACCAAAUAGAACUGGGGACUCCUGAAGGUGGCUAUUAGACAAGGAAGGAUAAUAAAGGUUAACAGUUCCCAGACCCAGCUAUACUCUGAGGAUUCACAAUCAUAUUACUGCUGAUGUACACUCCUUCUGUACCACUUUAAGUUCAACCAUGUGUGGCAAUGACUACCUGGGUUCUACUUUAGCUGGAAAUGGUGAAGAAGAAGUAAGAACUUCAGCUAACAAAACAUGACGAGAAUGCAAAGGGCUGAAGAUGGCUGAUGGAAAGGUACUUCUGAGUCUAUCCUUGAUACACUGUGCAGUCAUGUCUGUCUGUGUGAGAGGUGUUAACCCUGAAGAAGCAACUGGAUCAAACUUCACUGCUUCUUCAAACAGAAGGUGAACAUAUUGUCUUUCAACCACACAAGCAGCACCAAACUUAUCCCCGCUCCUUCCACCUUUGAGCCACUCUAGUAAGUAAUGUGAUUAUCCCCAUGCAUAAAUUCUGAUAACACGUGAGAAUAUCACAUGCAGGUAAAACUUAUAUGAGCCAGCUUUUCUCUUCUGACAGUUUGAAGAUUAUAUUUAGAGUGUUUAGUGUGUUUAGCACGUUCAAAGUCUCUGGAAUGUUUAGUGUUGUUGAUAAAGGGUGCACCUUGCCCAAAUUUGUGUUUUUAUUAUCUCCAAGAAUGGGAUUCUCCUUUUUCUUUUCACUAUUAUUUUUCUUCAAUUACUUAAGGAAAGAAUGUUGAAGUAUGUCUUGUGUCCCAUAAUUCAUAAGAAAUCUCAUACACUGGUCCUGAGUCAGCAUUUGUCUUAAUGGAUUUUGUACUGAGGUAUUGGAAGGAUUUAACCAAAGCCUGUAGUUUGACCUACAUAUUUAACAUCUCUCUUUUGGACAGUAUUAAUUUGCAUUCAUAUUUUCUUUCUUUUUGCUACUUGUAUCUAACUUUGUUUUUACUGUAUAAACUGGAAUUAACAGUGAUUAAUACUUUAAAUCAAAUAUGGUUUGUUUUCUGUUGGCCAUGGCCAUCUCUAAGAACAAAUUUAAACUGCAGAGGGAAUUCAGCUAUUCAUAUCACGUUUGCUUCCACAAGCAAAACUUGCCAAACUAAAGAACUCAGAGUUGAGCCAUAUGGUUUUGAUAAAACAUGGUGACUUGAAAUUUAUUUUCACUUUGCAAAACAACAACGCGUGCCAAAAUACUGUAUGUGAAAAAUUCAGCAUCAGGAAAAAUGUCCAGUAUAUGUCCACUUGUCACACUGGUUGGGCUCGGCAUUUCUACAGCUCAAGAUGAUCCUUUGCAGUGUUAGUAGUGAGAAAAGAGAAACUUGUAGAAUAAAAGUUCAAAGUGAAAAAUAUGAAUGUAGGUAAUUAUUUCUGGGGAUCUGAUCAUAAGACUUUCUGAAGAGUUCCCAAAAAGCAGUUUGAAAACUUUUUGAAAUGAACUGCCUCUUCUUGAGUGCCUCAAAUUAUUGGUUUGUUUUAAAGAACUGAACCAGUAAAUAGCCCAUCAAUGAACUACAGUGAAAUCCAAUAAAAGACAUGACAUGGUACUCACAGUAGGUAGCUAUAAUGAGUAUGAAAGGGAACUAUGUGCAUGACAUGGCUCCUAGUGCGAGGCAUGCAGUAUUAUGGACUGUUUGAGGUGCUGCACUGUCCUUUGUGUUCUGGUGCUGAAAUUUGAUUUAAAGCCUUCCGUUUCAAAUUUCUGAAUUAUAAGCUUCUCUAGGACUUCGUAUUUUAAAUUUACUGUGCUUUAAUGCUGUCCUGAUUUGCAUACAGACUUUGAAAUAUCUCUUUAUGGCAAGGGAAAUACAACUAUUUUUGUCUGUUCAGAUUUAAGACUGCUUGUGGCUCACACUCCUUCCUACCAUAUAAUCAGAAAACAUAAUCGCCCAGCGUGACUCUAAAACAGUUAUUUUGUGAGGCAAGAUGAAAUCCUGGAAUUCAUCCUUGUUGUGUCUGCCUCUUACAAGGGUUGGAAUUCUUUGCUUUGUUUACAGUCAUUCUACUUGCAUAGCAUUUGGAAUAUUUUUUUUCUAAAUAAUUUAACAAAAAAUGUGUAUUGUUUUUGUUAAAUAAAGAGAGAAAAUCAUGUUGACGUUGAU
rnacentral:lncRNA from 7 species